UACAGAGGGUGCUAGCGUUGUUCGGAAUGACUGGGCGUAAAGGGCGCGUAGGCGAUUUGUACAGUCAGAUGUGAAAUUCCUGGGCUCAACCUGGGGGCUGCAUUUGAUACGUAUGGACUGGAGUGAGGAAGAGGGUCGUGGAAUUCCCAGUGUAGAGGUGAAAUUCGUAGAUAUUGGCAAGAACACCGGUGGCGAAGGCGGCGACCUGGUCCUUUACUGACGCUGAGGCGCGAAAGCGUGGGGAGCAAACAGG
rnacentral:rRNA from 1 species